UUUCCGGUUGAUCCUGCCGGACCUGACUGCUAUCGGAUUAAUACUAAGCCAUGCGAGUCUUUGUAGUAAUACAAGGCAGACGGCUCAGUAACGCGUAGUCAACCUACCCUAUGGACGGGAAUAAUCUCGGGAAACUGAGCAUAAUACCCGGCGUACCACCAUUCCUGGAAUGGUUGGUGGUUAAAAUGAUUCGUCGCCGUAGGAUGGGACUGCGACCUAUCAGCUUGUUGGUGAGGUAAAGGCCCACCAAGGCGAUUACAGGUACGGGCUCUGAGAGGAGAAGCCCGGAGAUGGGUACUGAGACACGGACCCAGGCCCUAUGGGCGCAGCAGGCGAGAAAACUUUGCAAUGUGCGAAAGCACGACAAGGUUAAUCCGAGUGAUUUCUGCUGAAGGAAUCUUUUGCCAGUUCUAAAAAUACUAGUGAAUAAGGGGUGGGCAAGUUCUGGUGUCAGCCGCCGCGGUAAAACCAGCACCUCAAGUGGUCAGGAGGAUUAUUGGGCCUAAAGCAUCCGUAGCCUGCUCUGUAAGUUUUCGGUUAAAUCUAUAUGCUCAACGUAUAGGCUGCCGAAAAUACUGCAGUGCUAGGAAGUGGGAGAGGUAGACGGUACUUGAUAGGAAGGGGUAAAAUCCUUUGAUCUAUCGAUGACCACCUGUGGCGAAGGCGGUCUACCAGAACACGUUCGACGGUGAGGGAUG
rnacentral:rRNA from 1 species